UGGGGAAUCUUGCACAAUGGGCGAAAGCCUGAUGCAGCAACGCCGCGUGCGGGAAGACAGCCCUAGGGUUGUAAACCGCUUUCAGCAGGGAAGAAACUGACGGUACCUGCAGAAGAAGAUGCGGCCAACUACGUGCCAGCAGCCGCGGUGACACGUAGGCAUCAAGCGUUAUCCGGAUUUAUUGGGCGUAAAGAGCUCGUAGGCGGUUCGGUAAGUCGGGUGUGAAAACUCUGGGCUCAACCCAGAGAGGCCACUCGAUACUGCUGUGACUAGAGUGCGGUAGGGGAGCGGGGAAUUCCUGGUGUAGCGGUGAAAUGCGCAGAUAUCAGGAGGAACACCAGUGGCGAAGGCGGCUCACUGGCUCGAUACUGACGCUGAGGUGCGAAAAGUGUGGGGAGCAAAACAGGAUUAGAUACCCUGGUAGUCCACGCCGUAAACGAUGAGUGCUAGAUGUUGGGAUUUUCGGAUUUCAGUGUCGCAGCUAACGCAUUAAGCACUCCGCCUGGGAGUACGGCCGCAAGGUUAAAA
rnacentral:rRNA from 1 species